rnacentral:rRNA from 1 species
AUUGAACGCUGGCGGAAUGCUUUACACAUGCAAGUCGAACGGUAGAGGGGGCAACCCCUUGAGAGUGGCGAACGGGUGAGUAAUAUAUCGGAACGUGCCCAGUCGUGGGGAUAACGUAGCGAAAGUUACGCUAAUACCGCAUACGAUCUAAGGAUGAAAGCGGGGGAUCGCAAGACCUCGCGCGAUUGGAGCGGCCGAUAUCAGAUUAGGUAGUUGGUGAGGUAAAGGCUCACCAAGCCGACGAUCUGUAGCUGGUCUGAGAGGACGACCAGCCACACUGGGACUGAGACACGGCCCAGACUCCUACGGGAGGCAGCAGUGGGGAAUUUUGGACAAUGGGCGCAAGCCUGAUCCAGCAAUGCCGCGUGCAGGAUGAAGGCCUUCGGGUUGUGUACUAGCUUUUGUUACGGAACGAAACGGUAGGUAGGCUCUAA